rnacentral:tRNA from 1 species
AAGUUGAAUGUCGCGGGUUCGAAUCCCGUCUUCCGCUCUAUGAAUAUGAAUAUGAUAGGCCAAUGUAGCUCAG